rnacentral:sRNA from 1 species
GAGUGUGAGGGAUAGUAGUGUAAAUCCUUUUGUGCCGGGGUUCGGUACAAAAGAUUGCAACGGAUAGCCCGACCCCGC